UAAAAUUAUUUUAAAUAAUAUAUUAGAAAUGAAAUGUUAUUCGUUUUUAAAGGUAUCUAGUUCUUUAAGAAAUAAAUUUAAUUUAUAAAUUUUAUAUUAUUUAAUUUAAUGAAUUAAUUAAAUAAUUAUUUAAUUUUAAUAUUUUAUGGGAUAAGCUAUAAAAUAAAUUUUUAUAAAUUAUUAAAUAAAUUGAUAAAUAUAAACUUAGAAAUAGUUAUUAUUAAUAAAAAUGUUAUAAUUUAUUUUUUAUAUUAUAUUAUUUAUUUAUAUUUUAAAAUUUUUAUUAAAGUAUUUAUUUUAAUAUUAAAAAUAAAAUAAUAAUGAUGAAAUUAGUAUAUUUAUAUUGUAUAAAUAAAUUUAAUUGAUAAGUUUUUAUAAAGAACUCGGCAAAAAUAAUAUUCGCCUGUUUAACAAAAACAUGUCUUUAUGUAUUAUAUUUAAAGUCUAACCUGCCCACUGAAUUAAAUUUAAAUGGCCGCAGUAUUUUGACUGUGCAAAGGUAGCAUAAUCAUUAGUCUUUUAAUUGAAGGCUAGAAUGAAUGGUUGGACGAAAUAUUAACUGUUUCAUUAAAAUUUUUAUUAGAAUUUUAUUUUUUAGUUAAAAAGCUAAAAUUUAUUUAAAAGACGAGAAGACCCUAUAAAUCUUUAUAUUUAAAUUAUUGUAAUUUUUUAGAAAUAUUUUAUUAUUAUAAUUGAUAAUAUUUUAUUGGGGUGAUAUUAAAAUUUAAUAAACUUUUAAUUUAUAUUUACAUUGAUUUAUGAAUAAAUGAUCCGUUAUUAACGAUUAAAAAAAUAAGUUACUUUAGGGAUAACAGCGUAAUUUUUUUGGAGAGUUCAUAUCGAUAAAAAAGAUUGCGACCUCGAUGUUGGAUUAAGAUAUAAUUUUAGGUGUAGUCGCUUAAAUUUUAAGUCUGU
rnacentral:rRNA from 1 species